AUUGAACGCUGGCGGCAGGCUUAACACAUGCAAGUCGAGCGGAGAUGAGGUGCUUGCACCUUAUCUUAGCGGCGGACGGGUGAGUAAUGCUUAGGAAUCUGCCUAUUAGUGGGGGACAACAUUCCGAAAGGAAUGCUAAUACCGCAUACGUCCUACGGGAGAAAGCAGGGGAUCUUCGGACCUUGCGCUGAUAGAUGAGCCUAAGUCGGAUUAGCUAGUUGGUGGGGUAAAGGCCUACCAAGGCGACGAUCUGUAGCGGGUCUGAGAGGAUGAUCCGCCACACUGGGACUGAGACACGGCCCAGACUCCUACGGGAGGCAGCAGUGGGGAAUAUUGGACAAUGGGCGGGAGCCUGAUCCAGCCAUGCCGCGUGUGUGAAGAAGGCCUUUUGGUUGUAAAGCACUUUAAGCGAGGAGGAGGCUACCUAGAUUAAUACUCUGGGAUAGUGGACGUUACUCGCAGAAUAAGCACCGGCUAACUCUGUGCCAGCAGCCGCCGUAACAC
rnacentral:rRNA from 1 species